AAAAAGGUGAAGAACUGAAAGCAGGGUUUGAAGGCAUCUGAAUGGAGGCUUAGAAUCAUUUUUCUCAGCUGUAGACACCCAGAGCUGACAGGAGGCUGAUCUCUCUGGCUUUCCUCUCCUCCCUUAGGAAUGCUCAAGUGCUGCCAGCUUGCAGAGAGACGCUAGUGCAAUUUCUUAUGAACUUGCUAGACCCACCCUAAUGCUCUGGGUUGUCUCCUUCCUGAUGGGCUGCCACCAAAGCUCUAAAGCCCUCGCACACAAAGGCACCACAGGACUCCCACCCUCGACAUGAGCGCUCUGCCUGCCUCUGGUGCUGCCUGUCAGACCCUCUUCAGCUGGAAUCAAGGUUUGAAUUUUGACUUCUCUUUGGAGUAUUUUACAAGAACAGAGAUUUUACAUGCUAAAAUGCUUUCUGUAAAACACAGCUGUAAAAAAAAGUGAAUAGGUGCAUGCUGGCAGCAGAGGAAUUCAGAGCUUGUCAUAUUCUGCUUCAUAAACCUGUGUCCUUGAAGUCUCCUGCAUCCUGCCCUGUCAGACAGAUUUAUGCAGUAGCCAUGUUUGUCAAAGUAUUUGGCACCAGUGACAUCAUCUUUGUUGAAAUGCCGGACAGCGUGAUGAGUCCCAGAUGUUAACACACACCAAAAGCUGAGAAAGAAUGAAAUAUAAAGAUCAACUGUAGCAGCUAUGGAGGAUUGUAGUCAGUUUACAUCUGAUGUUGAUACAUGAAGAAUAUGGGAUUUUUUUCAUGGGUUCCUAAAGCUCUUAGGACUUACAGAUAGUGUGUGAAAAUGCUGAAGAAGAAAAUCUCAAGGGGCAAAACAGAGAGAAGUUUGCUGAGUGGGCUGCAUUGUGUGCAGUGAGCAAUAGAGGCAGAAGGUUUG